UCAACCCGCUUAACCGCAUCUUCUCCGGCUGACUUCGUGUGAGCACCGUGUGCCUGGAGGGUGAGUGAUGCUCUCCAUACGCUUGAUUGGAGUUCUACUGUUUUGUUGUCUCGGGCUCGAGCUCGCCGGACCGAGGAGCUCACCGGCGUCGUGGUUAGGGCCGGUGAGUGCUUGGCGAGGACAUGGUAAACUUGUGACCGGUUUGUGUUGGUCGGGGACAGGUUGCAGUAGUGGUUGGGGGGGGGGGCGCCGAGGCUAGCGCCGCCGCAGUCAUGGUCGCUUGCUCGCCGGCGUUGAGCACGGGCCAUCGGGGCCGAGAAUUGUAUAAAUUUUUGAAGAAACUUUUUAUCAGAAUAUGAACUCUUGGGCAAAGUUUGGAACAGUUUGGAUAUUAUUUGCUUAGCGAAAUAAUAUUUGCCCAAAAAGGAAAAUGAUUUCACCUAUGAAAUAAGGACACCUAGUAGUUAAGUAAAGCGAUGAAGUUGCUUAAGAAGUUUUAAGCUUUUGGAUAAGAUCUAAGAUGGAUUAGUUCUCUGGUUUACCUAAGUGAAUUCAAAUUGGUCACUUUUAUUAAGUGCUAGGUUGUGUAGAUAUAUGUGUAUAUGUGUCAUGUACUUAUUUAGGAGUGUUUAUGUUCCCCACCUCUCCUUGUGAGAGUUUGCAUUCCAUAUCAUUACAUAAGCAUACAUGUAUUUGUAAUUGACUUGUAGAACACCUAGAAGAAGUGGUGUUUGAAGGAGUCUACUCCAAUGGCUGCUGAUCAAGUGGAGGAGCCAUCUAACUGUGUAUUGGAUAGAGG
rnacentral:lncRNA from 1 species